AUCCUUUUGUAGUUCGUAAACUUGAUGAUUGGGUUUUCAUGCUCUUAAGUGAGAUGCGUGA
rfam:Homo sapiens chromosome 19, GRCh38 reference primary assembly.